rnacentral:rRNA from 1 species
AACGCGAAGAACCUUACCAGGGCUUGACAUCCAACUAACGAAGCAGAGAUGCAUUAGGUGCCCUUCGAGGAAAGUUGAGACAGGUGGUGCAUGGUUGUCGUCAGCUCGUGUCGUGAGAUGUUGGGUUAAGUCCCGCAACGAGCGCAACCCCUAUUGUUAGUUGCUACGCAAGAGCACUCUAGCGAGACUGCCGUUGACAAAACGGAGGAAGGCGGGGACGACGUCAAAUCAUCAUGCCCCUUAUGUCCUGGGCUACACACGUAAUACAAUGGCGGUCAACAGAGGGAAGCAAAGCCGCGAGGUGGAGCAAAUCCCUAAAAGCCGUCUCAGUUCGGAUUGAAGGCUGCAACUCGCCUGCAUGAAGCUGGAAUUGCUAGUAAUCGCGGAUCAGCAUGCCGCGGUGAGUACGUUCCCGGGUCUUGUACACACGC